UUGGAUUUGAGUGUGGAUGGUUGAAUAUAGGGGCAGUCUGUGCCAAACCUUGAGUCCUGUCAUUAAUUACAGCAGUGUUCGAAAUACCUGCCUGUCCGACCGCCCAGGGACGGGUUAUUUUCAACACGGACUGCCAGAUUCUCAGAUUCACCUGCCCGACAGUCGGGGUAAAAUUUAGA